rnacentral:rRNA from 1 species
AUGUCGGUUUUGUGCUCCCAACAUCGAUGGCUUUGUUUGGUCUUAGGCUAUCAUUUUUUCCAAUUCAAUUUCAUACUGAUAGUAUCACACGUCAUACCUAUUUGGUCGGCUUUGCCCUUCACCUCAUCGACUUUCUUCACGAUUUCAUCGACUUUAUCCUCCAUCCCGACAAUUUUAUCGACCUUCCUCUCCAUCUUCUCGACUUUCUUCACCAUCUCAUCGACUUUAUGCUCCAUGCUCACUAUUGAAUGGACCUUGCCCUCCAUCUGGUCGAUAGUCUUUGCUAUGACUUUGUCGUCCAACUGA